rnacentral:lncRNA from 1 species
AGCAAAUUACUACUCCGUGUUCAGAGCAGAACCGAGAAGGAACACCAAAGCCAAGACACAAGGCAUUGUUGCACAAAAAUCAGUUUUGUACCUUGAAGCCCUUGGAUGGAUAUUCGAUACUACAAAUCUUAAGAAGCAAGCAAUCAAGAAUCUGCAAUAGCAUUGGCAUUAUAUCCCAAAGUCUAUAACAAAAUGAAGAGAUUGACAAUCUUUGGUUGCAAAUUGAACUGCAAAUCUUAAGAAGCAAGCAAUCAAGGCAAAAUGAAGAGAUUGACAAUCAUUGGUUGCAAAUUGCAACGACGACACAAGUGUUUAGAAUCCGAGGAGAAGAGAAGCGUCAUGGCCUGUUUGAUAGAAUUCUUAAAUUGUCCCUCAAAUUGGAUAAAGAGCUGUUUCUGCCGCACCCUGUUUACGACGUUGGUGAGAGCUAGUAUCUUGAUUAGGAACUUUUAUCAAUUUUCUCAAACUGCGCUGCCUACUCAAAGGAACAGGUGAAGCCUGAUUAUGGGUUAAGAUCAUAAGAAAAUAUAGAGAAUGAGAACAUGGGUUCAUUAGGAGGUUAAUUAAGAUAUUAGAGUUUAUGUACAGCUUUUUUUGACUUCAUCAUUGAGAACAUGGGUUCAUUAGGAGGUUAACUAAGAUAUUAGAGUUUAUGUACAGCUUUUUUGACUUCAUGAUUUAAUUACAAGAUUCAUUCUUUCUUUCA